rnacentral:rRNA from 1 species
UACAGAGGUCCCAAGCGUUGUUCGGAUUCACUGGGCGUAAAGGGUGCGUAGGCGGUCGGGUAAGUCUGAUGUGAAAUCUCACAGCUUAACUGUGAAACUGCAUUGGAUACUAUCCGGCUCGAGGAAUGGAGGGGAGACUGGAAUACUUGGUGUAGCAGUGAAAUGCGUAGAUAUCAAGUGGAACACCAGUGGCGAAGGCGGCUACCUGGACAGAUACUGACACUGAGGCGCGAGAGCGUGGGGAGCAAACAGG